GAUGAACGCUAGCUACAGGCUUAACACAUGCAAGUCGAGGGGCAUCAGGAAGAAAGCUUGCUUUCUUUGCUGGCGACCGGCGCACGGGUGAGUAACACGUAUCCAACCUGCCCUUUACUCGGGGAUAGCCUUUCGAAAGAGAGAUUAAUACCCGAUAGCAUAAUGAUUCCGCAUGGUUUCAUUAUUAAAGGAUUCCGGUAAAGGAUGGGGAUGCGUUCCAUUAGGUUGUUGGUGAGGUAACGGCCCACCAAGCCUUCGAUGGAUAGGGGUUCUGAGAGGAAGGUCCCCCACAUUGGAACUGAGACACGGUCCAAACUCCUACGGGAGGCAGCAGUGAGGAAUAUUGGUCAAUGGGCGCUAGCCUGAACCAGCCAAGUAGCGUGAAGGAUGAAGGCUCUAUGGGUCGUAAACUUCUUUUAUAUAAGAAUAAAGUGCAGUAUGUAUACUGUUUUGUAUGUAUUAUAUGAAUAAGGAUCGGCUAACUCCGUGCCAGCAGCCGCGGUAAUACGGAAGAUCCGAGCGUUAUCCGGAUUUAUUGGGUUUAAAGGGAGCGUAGGUGGACUGGUAAGUCAGUUGUGAAAGUUUGCGGCUCAACCGUAAAAUUGCAGUUGAUACUGUCAGUCUUGAGUACAGUAGAGGUGGGCGGAAUUCGUGGUGUAGCGGUGAAAUGCUUAGAUAUCACGAAGAACUCCGAUUGCGAAGGCAGCUCACUGGACUGCAACUGACACUGAUGCUCGAAAGUGUGGGUAUCAAACAGGAUUAGAUACCCUGGUAGUCCACACAGUAAACGAUGAAUACUCGCUGUUUGCGAUAUACAGUAAGCGGCCAAGCGAAAGCAUUAAGUAUUCCACCUGGGGAGUACGCCGGCAACGGUGAAACUCAAAGGAAUUGACGGGGGCCCGCACAAGCGGAGGAACAUGUGGUUUAAUUCGAUGAUACGCGAGGAACCUUACCCGGGCUUAAAUUGCAGUGGAAUGAUGUGGAAACAUGUCAGUGAGCAAUCACCGCUGUGAAGGUGCUGCAUGGUUGUCGUCAGCUCGUGCCGUGAGGUGUCGGCUUAAGUGCCAUAACGAGCGCAACCCUUAUCUUUAGUUACUAACAGGUUAUGCUGAGGACUCUGGAGAGACUGCCGUCGUAAGAUGUGAGGAAGGUGGGGAUGACGUCAAAUCAGCACGGCCCUUACGUCCGGGGCUACACACGUGUUACAAUGGGGGGUACAGAAGGCAGCUAGCGGGUGACCGUAUGCUAAUCCCAAAAGCCUCUCUCAGUUCGGAUCGAAGUCUGCAACCCGACUUCGUGAAGCUGGAUUCGCUAGUAAUCGCGCAUCAGCCACGGCGCGGUGAAUACGUUCCCGGGCCUUGUACACACCGCCCGUCAAGCCAUGGGGGCCGGGGGUACCUGAAGUACGUAACCGCAAGGAUCGUCCUGGGGUAAAACUGGUGACUGGGG
rnacentral:rRNA from 1 species